GGAUGCGAUCAUACCAGCACUAAAGCACCGGAUCCCAUCAGAACUCUGAAGUUAAGCGUGCUUGGGCGAGAGUAGUACUAGGAUGGGUGACCUCCUGGGAAGUCCUCGUAUUGCAUUCC
rnacentral:rRNA from 2 species